rnacentral:lncRNA from 1 species
ACCAACUUUUGUGUGGCUCAUGGUGGGGGCAAGAGAUGUGCUGUUCCUGAGUGCACAAAAAGUGCUAGGGGAAGAACGGACUAUUGUGUGCGUCAUGGUGGGGGAAAGAGAUGCAAGUUUGAAGGGUGCGGCAAGAGUGCACAAGGAAGCACAGAUUUCUGCAAGGCACAUGGUGGAGGAAAAAGAUGUUCUUGGGGUCAUCCUGGGUCUGAGUAUGGCACACAACCCUGUUGCCCAUGCAAUUCAUUUGCUAGAGGAAAGAUGGGUCUUUGUGCACUUCAUAGUGGCCUUGUGCAAGAUAAGAGGGUUCACGGGGGUGUCUCAAUCGGACCUAUAAUUCAGGACCCUAAUCUCAGCAAGACAGAGAAGAUGAAAGGAAUAGUUGGGGAAGAUUACAUGAAUGAAGAUCUUAUCAAGGUAGGAGGCAAAGUUGGUCCAAAUCUUGAGCACUUUGCAGGCAG